UACGUAGGGUACGAGCGUUGUCCGGAAUUAUUGGGCGUAAAGAGCUCGUAGGUGGUUGGUCACGUCUGCUGUGGAAACGCAACGCUUAACGUUGCGCGGGCAGUGGGUACGGGCUGACUAGAGUGCAGUAGGGGAGUCUGGAAUUCCUGGUGUAGCGGUGAAAUGCGCAGAUAUCAGGAGGAACACCGGUGGCGAAGGCGGGACUCUGGGCUGUGACUGACACUGAGGAGCGAAAGCAUGGGGAGCGAACAGGAUUAGAUA
rnacentral:rRNA from 1 species